rnacentral:lncRNA from 1 species
CACACAGUCAAAGGCUUUGGCAUAGUCAAUAAAGCAGAAGUAUUUGUUUUUCUUCCACACCUCCUCCUAAUUUGGUAUAUACAUUCAAUGUCUUUGUCCUGGUUUUAAUUCUCCCUGUGGUAUCUCAUAUUGUAGAGUGAGAGCCUUGAGGGGUUCAUGAGGUGCUGAUCCUUUGAGAAAGGUGUUUUCCUUUGACUGCCUGUCUAGCUCUGUUGAUGGGCAUUGUGGGUGGGCUUGGCUGGACCAUUAUAAUGAGGCAGUGAGAACUAGAUGACUACAACCCAGUGUUCCACUUCUGAAUUUCUGAAUCAGCGAUCAAGUCAAAAGGUGACUAAUGAACAGUUAAUCUGAUGUUUUGCAUUUAUGGAUCUCCAUUUAAAAGGUGAUGGUGCACAGACAAUUUUUUCCUCCAGAAGUCAAAGAGUUAACACAGAAAUUAGAUCUAGUUCAGUUUUUACCAAGAAAGUUUACACUGAUGGUCAAAGCACCUGUUUUAUUAUAUAUGUAAAUAUUGAUUAGUCUAUUAAUCUUUCAAUUUAUCAGUUUUCAAAAACAAAUCCAAAUAGUUUACAUGCUUCAAGGAAAUUUUAAAAUGCAUGUUUACUUCUUCAAAACUGUAAUUACUGUGAAAACUCUUUUUGUUGUUUCCACUAUUUUGUAGUUAUAUCUAGCAGUCACAUUNNNNNNNNNNNNNNNGGCUCCUCAUUAAUACUACUUGAAUAUGUUAUAUUUAAUUACAUAUGUUGUCUAUUACUUCCAAGACUUUCUUGGGGCCACAUUUUAGCACUCUAAAUAUGAGCUGUGUACAUUGUAAUCUAUGGACAGUUCAUGGAACACUUUCCCUCCCACCCCCCACAAACCAAACGCUGUUAUUAAAUUUAUGCUGCUGCUUGGCUAUUUUGGAAUCAAGAAAGUGUGGGAAGUGCCUGCAUGGAGGAUGCAAGACUUUGGUUCUGACAAAAGGAAAGAAGAGAACAUGAUAAAUAAGGCAGAAGAAUUUCUCUGACUGAAGAUUUCAAAACUAUACCUC